AUGCUCAGAAGGUCUCAGAAUUCCCUGUCUCAUAAUUCCACCGCCCUGAAGGUUCCAAUCCGGGUGCAGAGCUCCAGUCAGCUCCUUGGUGGAAGGACCGGAGGGCUGACUGCGUGCCGUGGCGUGGCUGCAGCAAGAUCCCCCCAGAGGAGUUGGGCGGGAAGGUGCUGCCUACGAGGGGCUGCGGUGCUCCAGACCUCAGCCCCCUUGAUGUCUUCAGCCCAGGUCACCAACAAUGCUUGGGGUGAGGAGAGGGCACCAUCCCCUUUGAUGUCCUGGGAGCCUGCGUGUGUUUGAGGAUUGCCACAAACAGACGAUGACUCCGGCCAGAUGUGGAGGACGACAGUCACUGCGCUGCCUGGCAAUGCAAAGACGCCCGCGGCCCAGACUCCUCUUCCUCAGCCCCUGAGACGUAGACUGUCUCAGGCCGCCCCAUGCUCCAGGCUGGGAACCACACCACGGUGCCUGCUGCCACUCAGCCCUCUGCUCCCCUGGCCAGCUGUGACAGUGACCGUCGGAUGGCCUUCUGCAGAGGGUGGUCUGUAUUUCCCAGGCGCCAGAGAAGCACAGAUAAAACAACAGAAGUAUCCUGCUUGAAUCCUUCUGUUUGCUGGGAGGAAUAAGGACAGUAGUAUUCAGCUCCUCUUUUUUUAAAAAAAAAUUUUGACACAGGGUGUCACUGCAUAGCAGCAGAGGCUGGACCUGAACUCACAGCGAUCCUCCUGCCUCAGCCUCCCAAGGGCUGGGAAUUCAGGCGUGCGCUACCCACCCAGCAGUACUCUGCUUCUUUGACUCAAUGAGAGGGAACAAGUUCACAUGAAGCCAUGCCUUCCCCAUCUGCCUUCCCCGCCCUCCAGACUCAAGGGGACUCAAGGAAGAUGUGGAGCGAGGGACUGUGCCAAGCCCCCCCAUGCCUCAUGGACACACCUGCCUUCAGGGGAACGGAUGGCUGUGCCCAAUUCUCGGCCUCCACCAGUUUGGCCACAGGGUGUGGCCGGCAGGAUGGUCCUAGUUUAGCCUGUUUACAUCAAUUAACAACUCAUUUUUGUGGGUCGUUUUCACUGGGCAUCAGCUAGUUAGGAGGCUGAGGCAGGAGGAACACUGGAGAUAGGGGCAAAAACCCUUAACUUAGCUCCCACCAGUCGGCUGGUCAGAAAAAAGGGUCUGGGGCUUUCUUCCUUUUAGUCCCCUUGGUUGUGAGCCAAAAGAAGGUGUGGGCAAGGACAAAGCCACAAUCCUGGCCCCACUGAUAGAAGGCCUGAUCUCGAGGUGCACUGUGAGCUGCCAGGAUAAAUUUCUGCCCAGAUCAGAUCCGGACUUUAACCCCAGGGUAGAGACGACGUGACUCUGCUUUGUGACACAGUGCCCACUUCGACAUGCCAGGUGCAG
rnacentral:lncRNA from 1 species